rnacentral:tRNA from 1 species
GACUCCGUAGCUCAGUUGGUAGAGCAAAUGACUCUUAAUCAUUGGGUCGAGGGUUCGAGCCCCUCCGGGGUCAC